UCCAGCCGCCACACCUGCUCCCGAUACUUCCUGCGAAUCUGCCUGUAGGAACUCAAGGCUUUACUGGAAUAAAGCCAUCAAAAUCUGGACUGAGGUGAGAGGUGCGGCGUGACUUGCUGCUGCAGGGACAGGACGGCCGAGCAGAAGACCUUGAGGAACUAAAAUAUCUGACUCGGCCUGGAGGGAUUCUGCUUUGGAAGACGUAAUUUCCCAGUUGGAGUCCUUCAUACCUGUUCGGUCUUCCGAUCUUCCGCCUCGUCUCUGAGGUUUUCUGGGAUGAAAACUCCAGCUGCUUCCUGCGAC